GUUGCUUUUUGGCCUUUUGGCUAAGAUCAAGGGUCAUAUCUGUUCUUAUCAGUUUAACAUUAGCUAUUAUUAUAUCUAUGGGCUUAGAAAUCUGGGGCCACUGAGUUCCAUCCCUGGUACCCCCAAAAAAAGAGGUUUGGGGCCAUUAUUUAUUCAUUUAUUUUUUUCUGUCUGGAGCGCCCCUAAUUACACAAGUAUUAAACUUCU
ensembl:snRNA U2 U2 spliceosomal RNA